rfam:Stegodyphus mimosarum contig69757, whole genome shotgun sequence.
GCCUUCGUGGUGUAAUGGUCAGCACACUGAGCCGGUAUUGCAGAGGUCCGUGGUUCGAUUCCCGGCGAAGGAA